rnacentral:rRNA from 1 species
CGGAGGGUGCAAGCGUUAUCCGGAUUUAUUGGGUUUAAAGGGUCCGUAGGCGGACUCGUAAGUCAGUGGUGAAAUCUCAUAGCUUAACUAUGAAACUGCCAUUGAUACUGCGGGUCUUGAGUAAGGUAGAGGUAGCUGGAAUAAGUAGUGUAGCGGUGAAAUGCAUAGAUAUUACUUAGAACACCAAUUGCGAAGGCAGGUUACCAUGUCUUAACUGACGCUGAUGGACGAAAGCGUGGGGAGCGAACAGGAUU